rnacentral:misc_RNA from 1 species
GCGCCGCCGUGAGGAAGCGGAUUUGGGGUCUGAAGUUGAAGCAAUGCGUGAAUGAUUUCAAUGAAAUGAAGAGGCGGAGUUCCAAGUGGGACUCUCCACCGCCGGAAGAGAUAUGUAGUUUGGGCGUCGGAGAGAAUUAAGAUGGUGGCUGUAAAAAGAAAUACUUAGGAGGGUAAUUUUGGUUUUUACCAUUGUAAAUUUUUCUUUUUAUUUAGUAAUAUAUAAAACAAAAUCUCUAGAAUUCUAACAGCUGUAAUUUGAUGAUGAUGUGUUGAAACUUUGUGAGAUUCUUUUGAAAAUUCUGACGAGAAAGUUCAACUGCUCGCCUAAAUUCCAUGGGCGACGUUGGCUGAUUACG